ACGAACGCUGGCGGCGUGCCUAAUACAUGCAAGUCGAACGCUUCUUUUUCCAUCGGAGCUUGCUCCACCGGAAAAAGAGGAGUGGCGAACGGGUGAGUAACACGUGGGUAACCUGCCCAUCAGAAGGGGAUAACACUUGGAAACAGGUGCUAAUACCGUAUAACAAUCGAAACCGCAUGGUUUUGAUUUGAAAGGCGCUUUCGGGUGUCGCUGAUGGAUGGACCCGCGGUGCAUUAGCUAGUUGGUGAGGUAACGGCUCACCAAGGCGACGAUGCAUAGCCGACCUGAGAGGGUGAUCGGCCACAUUGGGACUGAGACACGGCCCAAACUCCUACGGGAGGCAGCAGUAGGGAAUCUUCGGCAAUGGACGAAAGUCUGACCGAGCAACGCCGCGUGAGUGAAGAAGGUUUUCGGAUCGUAAAACUCUGUUGUUAGAGAAGAACAAGGAUGAGAGUAACUGUUCAUCCCUUGACGGUAUCUAACCAGAAAGCCACGGCUAACUACGUGCCAGCAGCCGCGGUAAUACGUAGGUGGCAAGCGUUGUCCGGAUUUAUUGGGCGUAAAGCGAGCGCAGGCGGUUUCUUAAGUCUGAUGUGAAAGCCCCCGGCUCAACCGGGGAGGGUCAUUGGAAACUGGGAGACUUGAGUGCAGAAGAGGAGAGUGGAAUUCCAUGUGUAGCGGUGAAAUGCGUAGAUAUAUGGAGGAACACCAGUGGCGAAGGCGGCUCUCUGGUCUGUAACUGACGCUGAGGCUCGAAAGCGUGGGGAGCAAACAGGAUUAGAUACCCUGGUAGUCCACGCCGUAAACGAUGAGUGCUAAGUGUUGGAGGGUUUCCGCCCUUCAGUGCUGCAGCUAACGCAUUAAGCACUCCGCCUGGGGAGUACGACCGCAAGGUUGAAACUCAAAGGAAUUGACGGGGGCCCGCACAAGCGGUGGAGCAUGUGGUUUAAUUCGAAGCAACGCGAAGAACCUUACCAGGUCUUGACAUCCUUUGACCACUCUAGAGAUAGAGCUUCCCCUUCGGGGGCAAAGUGACAGGUGGUGCAUGGUUGUCGUCAGCUCGUGUCGUGAGAUGUUGGGUUAAGUCCCGCAACGAGCGCAACCCUUAUUGUUGGUUGCCAUCAUUUAGUUGGGCACUCUAGCAAGACUGCCGGUGACAAACCGGAGGAAGGUGGGGAUGACGUCAAAUCAUCAUGCCCCUUAUGACCUGGGCUACACACGUGCUACAAUGGGAAGUACAACGAGUCGCAAAGUCGCGAGGCUAAGCUAAUCUCUUAAAGCUUCUCUCAGUUCGGAUUGUAGGCUGCAACUCGCCUACAUGAAGCCGGAAUCGCUAGUAAUCGCGGAUCAGCACGCCGCGGUGAAUACGUUCCCGGGCCUUGUACACACCGCCCGUCACACCACGAGAGUUUGUAACACCCGAAGUCGGUGAGGUAACCUUUUGGAGCCAGCCGCCUAAGGUGGGAUAGAUGAUUGGGGUG
rnacentral:rRNA from 1 species